rnacentral:rRNA from 1 species
GCGUAAGGAUGCGUAGGCUGGAAAUCAAGUCGAGAGUGAAAUCCAACGGCUCAACCGUUGAACUGCUCUCGAAACUGGUUACCUAAAAUAUGGGAGAGGUAGAUGGAAUUGGUGGUGUAGGGGUAAAAUCCGUAGAUAUCACCAGGAAUACCGAUUGCGAAGGCGAUCUACUGGAACAUUAUUGACGCUGAGGCAUGAAAGCGUGGGGAGCAAACAGGAUUAGAUACCCUGGUAGUCCACGCCCUAAACGAUGCACACUAGUUGUUGCGAUGCUAGUCAUUGCAGUAAUGCACUUAACAGAUUAAGUGUGCCGCCUGGGGAGUACGGUCGCAAGAUUAAAACUCAAAGGAAUAGACGGGGACCCGCACAAGCGGUGGAGCAUGUGGUUUAAUUCGAAGAUACACGAAGAACCUUACCUGGGCUUGAUAUCCUAAGAAUCCUGUAGAGAUAUGGGAGUGCUAGUUUACUAGAACUUAGAGACAGGUGCUGCACGGCUGUCGUCAGCUCGUGUCGUGAGAUGUUGGGUUAAGUCCCGCAACGAGCGCAACCCUCGUGAUUAGUUGCUAACAGUUCGGCUGAGCACUCUAAUCAGACUGCCUUCGCAAGGAGGAGGAAGGUGAGGACGACGUCAAGUCAUCAUGGCCCUUAUGCCCAGGGCUACACACGUGCUACAAUGGCUAGGACAAAGAGAAGCGAUACUGCGAAGUGGAGCAAAUCUUAAAACCUAGUCUCAGUUCGGAUUGGAGUCUGCAACUCAACUCCAUGAAGCUGGAAUCGCUAGUAAUCG